GAUGAACGCUGGCGGCGUGCUUAACACAUGCAAGUCGAACGGAAAGGCUCCUGCUUGCAGGGGUACUCGAGUGGCGAACGGGUGAGUAACACGUGGGUGAUCUGCCCUGCACUUCGGGAUAAGCCUGGGAAACUGGGUCUAAUACCGGAUAGGACCACAUUUUGGAUGGUGUGGUGGAAAGUUUUUCGGUGUGGGAUGAGCUCGCGGCCUAUCAGCUUGUUGGUGGGGUAAUGGCCUACCAAGGCGUCGACGGGUAGCCGGCCUGAGAGGGUGUACGGCCACAUUGGGACUGAGAUACGGCCCAGACUCCUACGGGAGGCAGCAGUGGGGAAUAUUGCACAAUGGGCGCAAGCCUGAUGCAGCGACGCCGCGUGGGGGAUGACGGCCUUCGGGUUGUAAACUCCUUUCGCUAGGGACGUAGCGCAAGUGACGGUACCUGGAGAAGAAGCACCGGCUAACUACGUG
rnacentral:rRNA from 1 species